rnacentral:lncRNA from 1 species
CGGCCACAGUGGAUUUUAUUAUGGGGCGACGGGGGCACGCCCAGUGCCCCGCCACUCUCCAUGUCCACAGCAGCGAGGGUGGAGGGCCCUGUGCUGUGCAGGGCAGAGCUCGGCUGCACCUGGGCCAGGACACAGCUGCCCAGGUGGGAGGAACCGUGGACGGGGCUGGGGCCUUCCUCGUCCCAGGGCUGGUGAGCUGCUCGCUCACUGUUUCUCAGUUCCAGGUAGACACAGUUUAUAAUUCUGCAGAAAACUCUGGGGCCUUUUGCCUUUGUGUUUUCUUUUUUGAGACAGGGUCUGACUCUGUGGCCCAGGCUGGAGUGCGGUGGUGCGAUCACGGUUCACCGAAGCCUCCACCUCCCAGGCUCAGCAAUCCUCCCACAGGUGGGCCCACAGGUGUGCACCACCACAGCCAGCUAAGUUUUAAAUUUUUUGUAGAGACGGGGUCUCACCAUGUUGCCCAGGCUGGUCUCAAACUCCUGGGCUCAGUUGAUCCGCCCGCCUCGGCCUCCCAAAGUGCUGGGAUUACAGGCGUGAGCCACCGCACCCGGAUGGUGUUUUACCACUGAGGUCAGAGGGCAGACGUUGCUCCAAGCGUUUCGUCUGCGGGUGGAGCUUUGGAACUGAUGGAGAAGGCAGAGUCCUGACCAGGGGCCGCCAUCAGAGCGCAGGGACGGUCGGGGGGGAUGCGCAGGGAGGAGGGAAGGGAAGGAAGGAGGUGCCAAGCCCUCCGCUCAGUGGAGGUCAGUGGAGGUUUGCUUCCUGCUCACACUGGGCCUGAUUGGGUCGGAGGGCACGCGGGGGCCGCUGUCUGUCCUCCGUGGGGCCUUGGCUUGUGUCCAAGGGAGGGAGACAGUAGAGGGACCCACGGCUCUGUGAGGCGUUCCCUGGCAUGACCUCACCUGUGUGCUCUCUCUCCCUGUCUCAGUCAGAGCUGAACCCAGGCUCCUGUGGACCAAGAGGGGGUCCAGGAAGAACUGCUCCUGGGACCCGGACAGAGCGGAGGCCGUGUGCACGAGCAGCGUGGACCAGAGGGGCCUCGGGGGCCACCUGCUCCGUCCGACCAGGCACCAGUCCUUCCAGACUCGCCUGAGGAUGCCCGUGGGCCCCAGCGACACCUGGGGUGCCCCCCACACCCCUGCACCUACCUGAGACCAAGGGUGGUGGUGGGGCUGUGUGCCUGAGUCCUGGCCCUCCCAGGGCCACCCUCAGGAGCGGCUGCACAGGCUCUGGCUGGCCGGGGCUCAGAGCAGCCCACGGAGCCAGGCCCAUCCUGGGAGGCUCAGGGCUGCAGCCCAUGGACUCAUGAGGGGGGCUUCUGGGGUCUAAGGCCAGAAGUGACCUUUCUUCUCACGGAGGCACCCCCACAUCACAGGCCCCAAGCUCCCACCAGGAGUCCCCAGGCAGCAGGUUUUCCACCACAGCCGGGAAGAGCCCCGCCUUCACCACCCACCACCAGCCAAUCCCGAGACCACCGAAGCCCCCAGACCGGGCCCUUUGCCCCUCCUGCCCCCCGGCUCUCCCUACUGCCCAGAGCCUCCGCCAGCACCCAGGGACCCACGUCCACCUCCCAGAGCGGCCCUGCCCAGGGUCCUUCCCUGCCCUCCACGAUUCUCCGUGGCCCUUGGAGAAAGAGCAGCUUCUCCCCAGGCUCUGCCCCCAGCCCUUCCACCCCAGAGCCUCUGCCCAGACGUCCCGUCCCAUCCCGGGGGGCUGUCACGCUUCCGCCCCACCUCUCGCCCAUUCCCGGACAGUCACAGCCGUGGAACAACGCAGCGUGUGGACACAGCCCCAGGGAAGCUUGACUCUGCCUGGUCCCCAUGGCGUGCGGUGGCUCACCAGCCGCCCCCAUCGCUCCAUGAAAUCUGACUACACCUGUCCCAAAAAUCAACCAGCUCCCAGGCAGGUCCCGCCGUGCAGGGGGCCAAGGGCCACACCUGGGACCAGUGAGUGAGGCGGCGUGCGGGUAGUGGGGGUGUGAGCCCGAGACGGGGGUCCAGCCUUCUCCCACUUGGAUGCCAACAGCAGACUCUGGAUUUGGAGGUGUGGGCGGUGCCUUAGUCUCCCCAGAAGACAAGAGCCCACCCGCCGGGUGUGUCCUGACCCCACCCCCACCUGCCCCACACAGACACCUGAGUGGGCAUCAGAGUGGGCCGGGCCCUGACUGUCCGGGGGAGGGACUGUUGGGGCAAGGGCAGUGGGUCAGAGGUCACCGGUGCCCCCAGGACCAGUUUCCAGCGAGAAGAGAGCCAGGAGCCCCGGGCACAGGCCCACGGUGAUGAGGCUCCUGACCGAGCUCCCAGAGCUCAUUAUGGAAAACCGUGGGGUCCGCUGGGACCUCUCUGCUGGUCGGGCUAAUUACAGACCGUUUGUCGUUUCAUUAUGGGCUCUUCCUCUGGGAGAUGCGAGAAGCAAACACUUUGCCAUGGGAGGGGCGCUUCCCGGACCGGGCGGGGGCCCUGCCCUCCCCACCCCCAGACCCCUGGUCCCCCAGGCCUUCCAAGCUCCCAAAGAAAACUUGAACCCCCACUCCAGGGGCUCCAAAGUAACCUCCAGAGCCCAGAUGGGGAUGUUCCGGGAGCUGCUGGGGCCUCUCAGCUGUCCCUGCCUCGCAGGGAGGCUCAGGAAGGCACCCACACCCCUCCCUCAUUCCCCCAGCUGUGGGUCUGUGGGGUCUCGGAGCCUCUUGCCCAUUGGGGUGGGACUGGGGGCACGUAGCUCCUCCGAGCCCCUGGCGAGGAGACCGAUCCUGAGACCCACCUGGGCCUACGGGGGGUCCCUUCAUUGCUCCAAAAUUAAGGGCUGCGGGCCUGGAGCAAAGACAGGCAGGUAUGGCCCCUGCCCUCUGUCCAUGAGAGGCCUCAGCCCCAUGGGACAGGGCACCACCGCUGCAGGGAGGCGGCGGGCAGGUUGUGACCCCUCACCCUGGGGCCACCCUACCCGCUUCUAAGGCAGCCUGGGAAGGAGCCCUGCGGAGCUGGGGGGUGGGGAGGCAGAGGUGGAGAGGCGAGAGUUGCCCGCGGCUGCCCCUACCCCUGCCCAUGUCGCCCACACUCCACACGGGCCCCACAGAAGCCUUCCCAUCCUGGCUUUUGUUCAACCUCGGUGGGCGGCAAGGUGGGGGCGGGACGGAGUCUGCGGGGCCUGCGGGGCCCGGGCCUGCGUCACCGUCACUGGCCCGCCUCCCGCCCGGCCUAUGGGAGCCCAGGGGACACACCUGUCGGGGGCCAGGAGCGGAGAUUGGCCAGCGGGAGCUCGCACCUGUGUGGGGCGGGGAGCACUGCUCCUUGUAAGGCGAGCCCCCGCCGAGCCGGCUCUUCCCUCCCGAGGCCCCCACCUCGCCACCGCCUCCCAUUGUCCCGUCGCCCUCGAAACUCUCCCAGAGACGGGCGAGUUGUCCACCUGUGCAGGUCUGAACUGACUUCCUGUGCCAGGGCCUCGCCUGAGCGGGGGCAGGAAGCUCACCCUUGCAGGUCUCCCCGCGCCAACGGACGCCCUGAGGCCUGACCCUGGCUGAGGCAGAGCACCCAGCUCCGUGGACCGGGACGGACGGGCUCAGGUGCCCCCCAUUCCUUCCGAAGCCGGUUCACACCCACCCGGGCCUGGCACAGGGGAGGCGCUGGCUGCAGGGUCGGGGCGGGAGCAGCCUCAACCCGGCUCCUGGGCCGCGGCCGCAGCAGUGGAACCUGUCGGGGCAGGUAAGGGCGGGCAGCGGGGAGGCUGAGGCGCAGGGGGAGGCGGCUCCCUGCAGGGGGGCCCUCGCCAGCCCCCGCCGUGGCCGACGUGGGGCAGGGGCGCAGGUGACAGAUGGGCUGUCGCCAGCCUGGCCAGCGUCCAGGGGAGCUCCGGUCACUGCAGACACAGGCUGGAGCGGGUCCUUCCCCCCCCCAGGGAAAGGUGGGCCCCUGCGCAGAUGCGGCUGGGUUUCGGGUGUGGAGCCAUCUUGGACCCACGGGCUGCGUCUUCCGGGCACGGGCACAGUGUGUGGGCUCCAGGCAUGGGGUGCCCUCAGGGCAGGGCCUGGGCAGAGGGCAGGCUCCGAGAGGGGUCACGUUCUUGCCGCCUACCUGACAGCAGGCCUUCUAGAAAGUUCUCUCCAGAAGCAGCCACCGCCGUCCUGAGGCACUUUGUGCGGAGACGGGAAGCUGUCGCCUCAGAGGUGGGUGCGUAGAAGGGUUUGGCCGGGUGCGAGGAUGACCGCGUCUCCCUUGGGCUCUGGAGUCUGCGGUGGGAAGGGCUUGGUUUCAGCACCCUCUGGUCAGAGGCCGGCCGAGCCCAUGGGCGGUGAGGUUGGUGCCUGGGGUCGUGGCUGGUCUGGUACAGGUGGGGCUCAGCCCGGAGAAGCUGGAGCCGGUUCCCAGGCCCCGCGCUAUGACUGGGGUGGGGGCAACGUCUCUCGUGAGGUUUUUUACUUAAAUGUGAAACGGCUCAGUACGGUGGCCGCAGCCGGGAACAAGGUCCGACCCACCGAGGCCCAGCCUUGAACUUGCCGCGGGGGCACCUGAACACGGUUUUACAGCCCGGAUCACUGGCUUUCUUGAAGUUUGGGAACUGAUUGAUCAUGGUGGCGGGAGGUAAGGUUCAUUGUUCUUGAUGAACAAAAUUCUUAGGGCGUGAAGAGCCGAUGCUUUAAUUAACCCCCCGGGAGCGUCUCAGGCCUCCCCCCGGGAGCGUCUCAGGCCCCGUUUACGCUGAGUGUCUGGGGAAAGACGUGGUUUGGUUUUGUUUUUCUAGUAACCCAGAUGAAAUGUUUAAAAGCAUGGUUGGCAGCACAUUGAAUUUGGCAAAAUUAAGGUUUGCAUUUGUGAAAAUGCGGAUGCAGUUUGCGGUUCUUUUCAGACAUUUUGGUAAUUUGCAAAUACUUAUUUGCGAAACGAGUUUGUCAGAACAUUUUUUAGUAUCUAGAGGAAGAUGAGAUGGGCCGAGGAGGUCGCGCACCCCUGGAUCCCUGGAGGAGCUGGUGUGUUCUCUGUGGGGCGGGUGGACGUGGCCCGGACACACGGGCCGUGCUCACAGCCGGCCUGCGAGGGCUGCAAAUCCACGCCCGCCGUGUGGGUGAAAUGGCGGCUUUGCCUCCCAGACGCGUAGCUCCGGCGACGCAGAGGGAAGAACCUGAGUGCCCGCCAGGCCGAGCUCCGCACCCCACCCCCCGGCAGCCUCUGACUCCCGGCUCGGCUCCCGCGGUCGGGGAGGGUUGGAUUUCACACUUUGUUCUCGAGGCCGCACCAUUGAUUAAGCCCGUCGGGCAGGUUAACCAACAAGUUAGGUUUUCACGCCGGGAUCACAUUCCUCGCCGGGCGCUCCCACCCCACCCCAGCCUGUGCAGGUGGGACCCGGCCAGGCAGGCGGGCAGGGCGGCCAGGUGCGCCGAGGGGCGCCUCCACGGGGAGUGUGCUCCGCAGAGAACCCCUUGCUGGGGCGGCUCUGGGCCUCCUGACUCACUCCUGGAUUUUCCCAAGCUGAGUCUGGCCCCGCGGUGAUGAUUAACCCAACACCUCAACCGGCACCGCCACGCUAGCUCCACUUCCCGGCGACGGUUGACAAGAAAGCGCCGCGUGGGGCUCUCGGAAAACAGGGAAGGUCCGUUUUCGCUUUUCAUUUCUUGACCUGUGGCCACGGUAAGACUCGGCCGCCUGCCCACCCGACUCCUUGCCCCUCACCCCUGUGCCAGGCACAAGGCCCUGCGAAAUCCUUGGUCCCCCAGCUGAGCCUGCCGGCCCAGGCCACCAUCUCCCCACCCAGCCCUGGAGCCAGGGUCGGCCUCUCCUGCUAGCUGCUCGUUGGCUUUACAGCUUCUGCACUCAGGAGGCGCCUGGGAAUCCUGCCCUGGAACUUAGGAAGGAGGCUUCUCCCACCUGCCUGCCACACGGGUCUGUCCCUGGGUCCCAGCCUCUGCCGUGUGCCCCUCAGCCUCCCGGGUGAGAACGCAAUGACUGAUGAGCCUGGGGUGGCCAGGCCAGCUCUGGCCCUGUGGGGUUCCUGAGAAGGCUGGCCCUGGGUGGCCAAGGGCCUGGGGACACUGGCCCCGGGCCCUGAACCUGGCAGUGGGAGGCCGGCCCGUCCGCCGGGUGGGCUGGGAACUGUGUUUGGCCCCAGCUGCAAGGGACGAGUGCCGGGCACCUGCUGCCCUCCCCACGUGACCUGGCAGCCAGGAAUGGAGCUGAAAUUCAACUCUGCUCUGAACGGGAAGUCUUAGUUUCCUUUAGCUCAGAAAACAGGUGAAAUUGUGUUCCUGAAGCACUGAUUUGAUGGGAUUUGAUGGCAUUGGUGGCGAAGGCCUGUGAGGUGAUGGAAAGGGAAAGCCGGGUGCCCUGGAGCCUGACAGGCUGGGGCCAGGGCAGGGGACCUGGUGUGGGGUCUCCGGAGAGGGUCCAGGCGUGAGGGAAGCUGGGUCAGGACCUCGGAGACGUGGCCUUUGGAGGAGGAGACUGGAACCGGGUGGACCCGGCAGCAGGCGGGGGCGGGCGGACACGACCUUUGUUGUGGUCGGCGGGCAGACAGGGGAAUCGGCACAGGGCCUGCGCCCCACCUACAGCCUCUGUGGGUGGAAGGUGCCAGAAAACUUGAAGAGUGGCUCUGGCCAGCUCUCUGGGCCCAGUUGGCACCAGGUGGUUGCAGAGAAAGGGUGGGAAGGAGGACAGGAAGGACGGCGUGUCCAGCGGGCGGGGAGCCUUGGUCUGGCCUGAGGGCUGAACCUCCCUCGGGUCCUGAGUGUGCCUGGAGUAGAAGCCUAGGGUCUCUGGGCUCCAGGCAGGGCCCUGAGCAAGGAGGGGCCACAGGGCUGCCCACUUCCUCCUGCCCCCCUGCAGAGGCGGCUCAGCCCUCGCGGCGUCUGAGGCUUGACUGCCUGUGUCUGUGUUUGUGGCCGGUCUGCCUCUGUGCCUGGGUCAGACCCCAGACCAGCAGACACACAAACCGCAGGGACGGCUGGGCAGGGUCAGGAGCCUGCCCCGCCCGCACCCCCACCCACACCCCCACCCCCACCCCCGCCUGCACCCCCUGCCCUCAGACGCUGUGCAGUGAGCGGGGCAGCAUGGGAGAGGGGUCUCCAGGUGGCGGGGACCGUUCUGUCUCGAGAGCCUCGCAGACACCGGGCCUUUGAGAAGAGAAGGGGCUGGGCAGGGAAGCAGCUCCUGGAACACCAUCCUGGAGACAGAGGCCCUUGUCCCCUGCCUCAGACAAGGCAGCACGUGGGGCCCGGGGGGCUGGGGCUGCUGUCCAGGCCUUCCUAUGGGACCACCCAGAGGGAAGGUCCCCCGCAGAGGGGUGGGGGCAGAGGGCCGAGCGGGGCGGGCAGAGGGCCCGUGUCAGCCCCACUCCGACCUAGUCCUCGGCCGUCUGGCCAGGACACUUCGGCCCCCCAGGUGCCCACCCCAGGACCCAAAGCUGGUGGCUGCUGGACUCGGCAGGGCUGGCGGGUGGGGCUCACCCGGGCCCCUGCCCUCCGGCGAUGCUGUCCUCAGUGCCCCAGGAGGACGAGGCCCCCCAGCUACUGAGCUUCCCAGCGAGUCCCAUGCAACCCUCAGCCGGGCGGCCCCCGGACCCAGCUCGGGCAGCCGUGGCCAUCUUACUGGGCAGCAUUGGAUGGAGUCAGGUCUCUAAUACUGCCUGGUAAUGAUGACGGCGGAGCCCUGCACGCAGCGACCGGCCGACCCCGUCCCGGCCCCCAGGGCCUCCCGCCGAGCCCCACACUCCCCUCCCACACAGCCCGCUCACCGGACCCCACCCCGUCCGGGCCAGAUGGCUCUGGGGAGAGUGACGGGGGGACGUGACCUUCGGAAGGGGGCUGGGGCGCCCCCCACCAGCAUCUCAGAGACCCCGGAAUGCAAGGCCUCCUGCAGCUGCACCCAGGGCGCCCCACAGUGAUCUGGGGAUUAGGACGCUCAGGUGUCCGGGCCCUGCCCACAGCGCCUGGGCGGGAGCUGCUGUCACACCCAGCAGGUGCGGGCCGAGCAGGACCCAACAGAGGGCUCAGGAGGGCAAGGCCCAACCGGGAGCCACGUGGAACCCAGAGGAAGCCGCCCCACCCAGCUUGGCCACAGCCAUCUUCCCUCCUGCCGGACAGGGUGGGCCGGCCACCGAGCAGACCAGUGCCCCCGCCUUGGUCCCGGGUCAGCAGCCCCAGGGUCCCCUUGCCCUGGAGGAAGCAGGGAGGGUGGGCCUGUGUGCAGUCUCAGGGCCCCCAAGCCCCUCUCCGCCAGCCCUGUCCGGUCCCGGCACCACCCCUGGCUGCUCACCGCUCCGGUUCUUCCCUGGGCUUCCACAGCAGCCCCUGCCUGCCUGGCGGGACCCCACGUCCCUCCCGGGCCCCUGUGAGCAUCUUACCGGACAGUGCUGGAUUUCCCAGCUUGACUCUAACACUGUCUGGUAACGAUGUUCAAAGGUGACCCGCCGCUCGCCGGGGACACCACCGAGGCACAUCCGGAGCUCCUACUCCAGGGAUGGGCUGGGGCGGAGGGCCGAGCGGGGCCAGCAGACGGGUGAGGGCGGAGGGCCGAGCGGGGCCAGCAGACGGGUGAGGGCGGAGGGCCGAGCGGGGCCAGCAGACGGGUGAGGGCGGAGGGCUGAGCGGGCGGCAGAGGGCCUGUGUCAGCUCCGAAGUCCAGCCCCCAGGGGAGGGGCCGGCCUCUGCCGGGGGUGCCCCCGGGGUCACUCACGCCCAGGCUGGGUCUGACACCUUGAGGACCCCUUGGUGCCUCCACAGGUGGCCUGGAGGGCAUCCUGCUCCCCCUCCCGGAGCCGCUGUGCCUCCCCCACCCAACCUCCCAGGCUGGGUUUUAGGGUGACCUGGCUCCAGGAAAGGCCAUAGGGCUGGGAUGCCAGGGCUGGAGAGGGAAGAGCAACAGUGGCCUCUCUCACGUGGUCCGGGCUCCGUGGAGGGUCUGCUGGGGGCGCAGGAAGGACAAGGUGGGUUCAGAUUCCCGAGCCCCACCAUGCAGGGGAGCGGGGACGCUCUGCGCUUGCCCUCUGAGGGACAAGGGGUCUCAUUCCUUCCCCCAGUCAACAAGAACAGGAACUUUGUCCAAAACCCACCAGGCCAGGAUGACCCAUUGUUUCAUCUUUUCCAUCUGCAACCAGGGCGCCUGGGACCGCACCCCCACACAAGGCCCCAGCCUGGGGAGGGGGCAGCCACCGGGGAGAGGCUGCCCUUCACUGUUACUCAUUAACCCGACCGAGCUUCAGGAAGCCAGCGAGGGGCUGCAGGGAACCUUUGCCAAGAGCAGGGCCUGGGUGACCAGGUGGCUCCCGGGUACCCCCACACAGCCAGGCUGGGCUGGGACCAGGUGCUGGGAUGGGGGCUGUCAGGGAAGUGCCUCGGGGGCUCGUUCUGCAGACCCAGGAGGGAUCAGGGCAGCUGCAGGAGGUGGCAGGAGCCGCCCCCGGGGCCUUCCCUUCACAGGCCCCGCAGACACCAGCCCAGGACCCGGAGGCCACCCACACCACCGCCGGCCGAUGGGCGUCUUACCAGACAUGGUUAGACCUGGCCCUCUGUCUAAUACUGUCUGGUAAAACCGUCCAUCCGCUGCCUGAUCACCGUUAGAGGAGAGAGCUGCCUGCCCUGCAGCUCAUCAGUGCAAAGCCGCCCGGUCUGGGGCUCUCAUGCCCCCCUCACUAUGGCCUGUGCCCAUCCGCAGCCCAUCAGUGCAAAGCCGCCGGGGUCUGGGGCUCUUGUGCCCCACCCUCGCCAUGGCCUGUGCCCACCCGGCCUCCUGGGGCCCUCGAGCUGUAGUCCCCGGGCAGAUGCUGUGGACCCCGUGCUAUCAGCCUGGCCCCUGGGGUCACAGUCACAGAUACCCGGAGCCCCACCCCACAGCCCCAGCCCCCUCGCCACCUGGGGAGGCUGAGACAGAAGCAGCUGGGCCCCCCAAAGUGCCUGAGCCCAGGGCACGGAGGAGCACAAAUGCCCAGCAGGGACAAUGUCACAGCGUCUCAGCGGCCAGGCAGCAGGACGCAGAGACCUCUGGGAGGUUCCCGGGGCCAGCCCUGGCCCUCCUCCUCCAGGGGCCAGCCGUGGGAUGCAGACCACACUCUCCCUCCAGGGCCCAUCUCUGGGGCUGAGGCGGGCGGGGCCGGUGCCCAGCUGCAAGACCAUGGGAUAGGGAAGGCAGGUGCUUGGGGCCACGCAGCCCUGCACUGGGGGCCCCUCCACCCCAGGCGGCUCACGAGGUGUCAUCUGGAGCUGUCCCCAAGCCGGGAUCUGCAGGUUGACCUCCCCCACCCGGGGCUAUCUCCAGACCCUCUUUCCUCCCUGGGGAGAUGGGGCAGUCCCCCGCAGGGCCAGCUGAAACCACCCCCAUGCUGCUGCCGCCUGAGCGACGUGUGUGGGGAAGAACUUGGAGUGCCACCCCCAGAAUGUGGCGUCCACCUCACCAGACCGCACGGGUGAGCCCUGGACUGCAAGGUGCAUAUAACACAAGGUUUGGACACACCUGGAGAGCUCGGGCCAGGCAGGGCCACACCUGUGAGCCUGAGCUCAUCCAACACCGCCCGGAGCUCGGGGACCUUCCCCAUCCCAGCACCUCCUCACCGCUGUGCCCGUCUGGCCAGUCCCUCCAAGCACCCCUCGGAUGAAGUUGCGCCCCACACUGCAGUGGGGCUCACUCUCCACAGCGCCUGCUGCGUUGCACGGGGUGUGACAGGAAGGACCCUGCUGGGGCUGGCGGGGCCGUACCCAGAGCCUCCCUGUGCGGUUUCUCCUCCUCCUCCUCCUCUCCAUAAGCACCGGGAACAAAACAGAAAAAAGUCUUUGUAUAGUAAUAAAGUCUGCAGUUCACGCACCCAUGCUUGGACCAGCUCCUUAUUUUAACCACACGUGCACAGACCCCCGCCGUGCAAAGGGCCCAGCUGAGGACAGAACCCCAGACACUGCAUCCGGCCCCGGAGGCCCCCAAGGUUCCUGGGAGAGGCUCCCUCCCUCCCUUCCCUCCUCUUUCCCUCCCCCUCCUCCUUCCUCUCCUCCAUCCCUCCUUCCCCCUCCUCCCUCCUCCUCCUCUCUCCGUCCCUCCCUCCCUCCUUCUUUUGCUCAGGAAUCUUCCCUGACUCUCCUGUGGUCAGCUCAGGUCAAGGUUCUGGGGGAAGGGGGAGUCCCUGAGUGGAGACACCUCAGCCUGUGCUGAAGGGAGCUACCGAGGGGGCAGCCGGUGGCCCUGGGGGGCCUCUCUGAGCAGGUGACCAAGAGCGUAUGGUGCCGGCCAGCAGGAGCGAGGGCUGCGGACAGGAUGGAGGCAGCCAGGCGCCAGCCAGGAGGGCUUCCUGGUCCAGCCACACCUGCCCCGGUGACAGCCACAGGUUGGUGGCAAAGGGGCCACCUCCCUUCCAGUGGCAGGGCCUGGCCUGCCUGGAGACCCCACCCACUGCCCGAGAGGUGCCAGGCCUCCCCCAUUCUGCCUGGCCCUGGGGGCUGCACCCACCUGGACACGCGGGCCGGGCACACCCACGGCCCAAGGUCCUGCUCCCACCUGCCCUGCGCAGGAACCUUGCUGGGGCUACAGGUAUCCGUGGCUGCCACACCACCCAGAUUUUGGGAUUAAGGGGCAGAGUUUUCAAGUUUGAACUCAGGAAAGCUGUGAGGGACGAGGUAGUGCCUGGCUGGGGAGCCUGGGGGCUUCUGAGGGCGGUGGGGAGUCCUCAGGCCUGUGUGGGGCCCCAGGGAGGGGAGGCUGCAGGGGUUGGGGGACCUGCCCGCUGCACCCCCUCUCCCCCCACACAAGGAAACCCGUCCUCCGAGGUGUGUGUCCAGAUCACAUCCUCCAAAGGCCGGUGCGCCACAAAGAUGAACACGGGGCUCUCCCUCCCAGCCCAGGGGCAAGGACCCUGCCUUGCUCUGUUCCCGGAAGGGCCAGUUCUGGAGAGGAGCUGGGCGAGUCCUUCCCAUCCCCAUCAGCUCCUGUCAGGCCACCUGCCUCAGCCUCAGGGAGGAGGGGACACACGUAGGCCCCUUCCCAGAGUCAGAGCUUCCGAACCCGGAUCUGCUGCUCCCAGCCUGGAGAGCCACAGCAGCCACCGAAGGAACCCCCCACCCGUCACCCCCACCAAGUGGGCCCUGCUCCCCGAAGGCCCAGCCACUCAGCCCAGGACCUGCCCCAGCCCCACCUGCCACCUGACCUGAGGCUCCCAGAGGGCAGAGGGGCCUCCUGGGUCUGCUCCGCACCAGGGUCCAGCGGGACCAUCUCAAAGCUUGAGCACCAGGCGCAAGGUGGGAGUGCGGGGAGGGGACGAGGACACUGUUCCCAGCUGGACAGAACCAGGAGGACGGUGGGAGACGCCCCCCACCGCCCCGCUUCCGAGAGCUCUCUCUUCCUUCCAGGGACUCCCCAGGGACAGCCGGGGCCCCUUCUUCCCCCACAGCUCAGGCCCCAGGGACACAGAGCGGGGAACCCCCAGGCUGCCGCCCCGGCGUGGGUCGGGGAGGCGGCUCCGGAGCGGGCACCACACUCUCGAAAGGGUGGCUUCUCCUCCCGGCUGCUGAAAAACCACACAGGCAGGCACAACAACAGACGCUUACGCCCGCAUCUGGAGGCCAGAACUCCAAAGCCACAGGGCAGGCAGGGCUGCACCCCUCUGGGGGCUCCAGGAGAGGACCCUGUCUGCCUCCCCAGCCCCUGCCAGCUCAGGCAUCAGUGGCUGUGGCCGUGUCACCCAUCUCUGCCCCCCAGUCCCACGGCGUCUCCCCCACGUCUGCGUCUCCUCUCUCCACCUCCCUCUCAGGGGGGCAGAGGCCAUUGAUUCAGGGCCUGCCCUGGGUGAUGUCACUAGAGAUCCUGACGUAACCCCACCUGCAAAGCCCCUUCUUCUAAAUAAGGUCACAUUCGAGGUUUCAGGGCUAUGAUGUGGUUGUCUUUUGGGGGCACCACCAGCCCCCUGCAAGGGGACCCUAAGCACAGAGGCCCUCGUGACCCACGCAAAGCUCUGAAGGACACGGAUGGGUAGGGGACACGUGGCUGGAGGCUCAGAGUUUGAGGCAGAGGGGAUCAGACCGUGCCAUGGGUCAUGCCAGGAGCCCAGGACUCCCAGACCUCGUAUCAUUAGGUGUUUUAAAGAGAAGGCGAGGGCAGGCCAGGCGCAGUGACUCAC